AGGGCGGUAUCUGUUUAGAACCGCACCACUCGUUUUUUUGAACAAAAUAGUCUGCCUUGAUCCAAAAUGGACUGGGACAGAGGG
rfam:Anaerobacillus macyae strain DSM 16346 super1, whole genome shotgun sequence.